rnacentral:misc_RNA from 1 species
GGACUACUGGGGUAUCUAAUCCUGUUUGCUACCCACGCUUUCGCGUCUCAGCGUCAGUAUCCGUCCAGGUGGCCGCCUUCGCCGCUGGUGUUCCUCCCGAUAUCUACGAAUUUCACCUCUACACCGGGAAUUCCGCCACCCUCUCCGGUACUCAAGCCAGGCAGUUUCGAACGCACUUCCUCGGUUAAGCCGAGGGCUUUCACAUCCGACUUGCCAAGCCGCCUACACGCGCUUUACGCCCAAUAAUUCCGAACAACGCUUGCACCCUCUGUAUUACCGCGGCUGCUGGCACG